CAAAUUUCCAUUCUAGGUAAAACUUCAACCAUAGCAAAGCGAAGUUGCCUUUGCCUUCUCCUUCAACAUCCAUUCAUUCGGGAUCGAACAAAGAAUCUACCACUCUGCCUCUGCCUUCAAUUCAUAGCACAACACACGCAGAGAUUGAUUCCAAUCGUUUCUUUUCUCUUGCAUCCGCUGGAGGAAAAUCAAAAUCUCCAAUUCAUAGUCAGAAUGUGCACACACAAACUUGUGUAUAUUAAAAAGAAAUUCAUUAAUACGGC
rnacentral:misc_RNA from 1 species